AGGUAGUGACAAGAAAUAACAAUACAGGGCUAAUGUCUUGUAAUUGGAAUGAUGGUGACCCAAACCCUCACCAGAGUAGCAAUUGGAGGGCAAGUCUGGUGCCAGCAGCCGCGGUAAUUCCAGCUCCAAUAGCGUAUAUUAAACUUGUUGCAGUUAAAAAGCUCGUAGUUGAAUUUUAGCGUGUUCGAGUUUGCCAUUCGUUUGGCUUUUUCGAGUUCGCUUUUGGGUUUUCCCUUUUUACUUUGAGAAAAUUAGAGUGUUUCAAGCAGACUUUUGUCUUGAAUACUUCAGCAUGGAAUAAUAGAGU
rnacentral:rRNA from 1 species